UUAAGCGACUAAGCGUACACGGUGGAUGCCCUGGCAGUCAGAGGCGAUGAAGGGCGUGCUAAUCUGCGAUAAGCGCCGGUAAGGUGAUAUGAACCGUUAUAACCGGCGAUACCCGAAUGGGGAAACCCAGUGUGAUUCGUCACACUAUCAUUAACUGAAUCCAUAGGUUAAUGAGGCGAACCGGGGGAACUGAAACAUCUAAGUACCCCGAGGAAAAGAAAUCAACCGAGAUUCCCCCAGUAGCGGCGAGCGAACGGGGAGGAGCCCAGAGCCUGAAUCAGCAUGUGUGUUAGUGGAAGCGUCUGGAAAGGCGCGCGAUACAGGGUGACAGCCCCGUACACAAAAGCGCAUGUGCUGUGAGCUCGAUGAGUAGGGCGGGACACGUGGUAUCCUGUCUGAAUAUGGGGGGACCAUCCUCCAAGGCUAAAUACUCCUGACUGACCGAUAGUGAACCAGUACCGUGAGGGAAAGGCGAAAAGAACCCCGGCGAGGGGAGUGAAAAAGAACCUGAAACCGUGUACGUACAAGCAGUGGGAGCACNGUGUGACUGCGUACCUUUUGUAUAAUGGGUCAGCGACUUAUAUUCUGUAGCAAGGUUAACCGUAUAGGGGAGCCGGAGGGAAACCGAGUCUUAACCGGGCGUUAAGUUGCAGGGUAUAGACCCGAAACCCGGUGAUCUAGCCAUGGGCAGGUUGAAGGUUGGGUAACACUAACUGGAGGACCGAACCGACUAAUGUUGAAAAAUUAGCGGAUGACCUGUGGCUGGGGGUGAAAGGCCAAUCAAACCGGGAGAUAGCUGGUUCUCCCCGAAAGCUAUUUAGGUAGCGCCUCGUGAAUUCAUCUCCGGGGGUAGAGCACUGUUUCGGCUAGGGGGCCAUCCCGGCUUACCAACCCGAUGCAAACUGCGAAUACCGGAGAAUGUUAUCACGGGAGACACACGGCGGGUGCUAACGUCCGUCGUGAAGAGGGAAACAACCCAGACCGCCAGCUAAGGUCCCAAAGUCAUGGUUAAGUGGGAAACGAUGUGGGAAGGCCCAGACAGCCAGGAUGUUGGCUUAGAAGCAGCCAUCAUUUAAAGAAAGCGUAAUAGCUCACUGGUCGAGUCGGCCUGCGCGGAAGAUGUAACGGGGCUAAACCAUGCACCGAAGCUGCGGCAGCGAACGUAUCACCCAAGACAACUUUACGGAGUUGACGAUUGACGGAGCGAAGCGACGUCAAAGCGUUCAUUAAAGUCGAGUUGGCUUAGGGAUACGUUCGUUGGGUAGGGGAGCGUUCUGUAAGCCUGUGAAGGUGUGUCGUGAGGCAUGCUGGAGGUAUCAGAAGUGCGAAUGCUGACAUAAGUAACGAUAAAGCGGGUGAAAAGCCCGCUCGCCGGAAGACCAAGGGUUCCUGUCCAACGUUAAUCGGGGCAGGGUGAGUCGACCCCUAAGGCGAGGCCGAAAGGCGUAGUCGAUGGGAAACGGGUUAAUAUUCCCGUACUUGGUGUUACUGCGAAGGGGGGACGGAGAAGGCUAUGUUGGCCGGGCGACGGUUGUCCCGGUUUAAGCGUGUAGGUGUGUGUUCCAGGUAAAUCCGGUUCACUUUAACACUGAGGCGUGACGACGAGGCACUACGGUGCUGAAGCAACAAAUGCCCUGCUUCCAGGAAAAGCCUCUAAGCAUCAGGUAACACGAAAUCGUACCCCAAACCGACACAGGUGGUCAGGUAGAGAAUACCAAGGCGCUUGAGAGAACUCGGGUGAAGGAACUAGGCAAAAUGGUGCCGUAACUUCGGGAGAAGGCACGCUGACACGUAGGUGAAGUGAUUUACUCAUGGAGCUGAAGUCAGUCGAAGAUACCAGCUGGCUGCAACUGUUUAUUAAAAACACAGCACUGUGCAAACACGAAAGUGGACGUAUACGGUGUGACGCCUGCCCGGUGCCGGAAGGUUAAUUGAUGGGGUCAGCGUAAGCGAAGCUCCUGAUCGAAGCCCCGGUAAACGGCGGCCGUAACUAUAACGGUCCUAAGGUAGCGAAAUUCCUUGUCGGGUAAGUUCCGACCUGCACGAAUGGCGUAAUGAUGGCCAGGCUGUCUCCACCCGAGACUCAGUGAAAUUGAACUCGCUGUGAAGAUGCAGUGUACCCGCGGCAAGACGGAAAGACCCCGUGAACCUUUACUAUAGCUUGACACUGAACAUUGAGCCUUGAUGUGUAGGAUAGGUGGGAGGCUUUGAAGUGUGGACGCCAGUCUGCAUGGAGCCGACCUUGAAAUACCACCCUUUAAUGUUUGAUGUUCUAACGUGGACCCGUAAUCCGGGUUGCGGACAGUGUCUGGUGGGUAGUUUGACUGGGGCGGUCUCCUCCUAAAGAGUAACGGAGGAGCACGAAGGUUGGCUAAUCCUGGUCGGACAUCAGGAGGUUAGUGCAAUGGCAUAAGCCAGCUUGACUGCGAGCGUGACGGCGCGAGCAGGUGCGAAAGCAGGUCAUAGUGAUCCGGUGGUUCUGAAUGGAAGGGCCAUCGCUCAACGGAUAAAAGGUACUCCGGGGAUAACAGGCUGAUACCGCCCAAGAGUUCAUAUCGACGGCGGUGUUUGGCACCUCGAUGUCGGCUCAUCACAUCCUGGGGCUGAAGUAGGUCCCAAGGGUAUGGCUGUUCGCCAUUUAAAGUGGUACGCGAGCUGGGUUUAGAACGUCGUGAGACAGUUCGGUCCCUAUCUGCCGUGGGCGCUGGAGAACUGAGGGGGGCUGCUCCUAGUACGAGAGGACCGGAGUGGACGCAUCACUGGUGUUCGGGUUGUCAUGCCAAUGGCACUGCCCGGUAGCUAAAUGCGGAAGAGAUAAGUGCUGAAAGCAUCUAAGCACGAAACUUGCCCCGAGAUGAGUUCUCCCUGAGACUUAGAGUCUCCUGAAGGAACGUUGAAGACGACGACGUUGAUAGGCCGGGUGUGUAAGCGCAGCGAUGCGUUGAGCUAACCGGUACUAAUGAACCGUGAGGCUUAACCUU
rnacentral:rRNA from 1 species